CCUACGGGGGGCAGCAGUGAGGAAUAUUGGUCAAUGGAUGAGAGUCUGAACCAGCCAAGUAGCGUGAAGGAUGACUGCCCUAUGGGUUGUAAACUUCUUUUAUAUGGGAAUAAAAUGUUCCACGUGUGGGAUUUUGUAUGUACCAUAUGAAUAAGGAUCGGCUAACUCCGUGCCAGCAGCCGCGGUAAUACGGAGGAUCCGAGCGUUAUCCGGAUUUAUUGGGUUUAAAGGGAGCGUAGGUGGAUUGUUAAGUCAGUUGUGAAAGUUUGCGGCUCAACCGUAAAAUUGCAGUUGAAACUGGCAGUCUUGAGUACAGUAGAGGUGGGCGGAAUUCGUGGUGUAGCGGUGAAAUGCUUAGAUAUCACGAAGAACUCCGAUUGCGAAGGCAGUUCACUGGACUGCAACUGACACUGAGGCUCGAAAGUGUGGGUAUCAAACAGGAUUAGAUACCCCAGUAGUC
rnacentral:rRNA from 1 species